rnacentral:lncRNA from 1 species
CAGAGCUCUCAGCCCCCAGGGCCUCAAGGCAGGAUUAUUGACUCCACGCUGUGGGAAUUUCCCUCCUGAUCACCUGCACCAGGUGUCCAGGGGCAGAUGAGGGGCUGGGACUGGAGCAGGAGCCUGGAUUAACACUGGACAGCUCUGAUCCCCACUGGAGCGUGGAUCCAGCUGAGGAAGGUAAGGAAUCAGCUCCUUACUUUUUCCGGAUUGGUAAAUCAAA